UCCGGUAUGGUGUAGUGGCUAACAUUUCGCGUUUUCAUGGGUGUCUGAUCAUCCAGCGCCGCGAGGCCCCGGGUUCAAUUCCCGGUACCGGAA